AGCGAACGCUGGCGGCAGGCUUAACACAUGCAAGUCGAGCGGGCACUUCGGUGUCAGCGGCAGACGGGUGAGUAACACGUGGGAACGUGCCCUUCGGUUCGGAAUAACUCAGGGAAACUUGAGCUAAUACCGGAUACGCCCUUUUGGGGAAAGGUUUACUGCCGAAGGAUCGGCCCGCGUCUGAUUAGCUAGUUGGUGGGGUAAUGGCCUACCAAGGCGACGAUCAGUAGCUGGUCUGAGAGGAUGAUCAGCCACACUGGGACUGAGACACGGCCCAGACUCCUACGGGAGGCAGCAGUGGGGAAUAUUGGACAAUGGGCGCAAGCCUGAUCCAGCCAUGCCGCGUGAGUGAUGAAGGCCUUAGGGUUGUAAGCUCUUUCGACGGGGACGAUAAUGACGGUACCCGUAGAAGAAGCCCCGGCUAACUUCGUGCCAACAG
rnacentral:rRNA from 1 species